rnacentral:rRNA from 1 species
GAUGAACGCUGGCGGCGUGCUUAACACAUGCAAGUCGAACGAUGAAGCCCAGCUUGCUGGGUGGAUUAGUGGCGAACGGGUGAGUAACACGUGAGUAACCUGCCCUUAACUCUGGGAUAAGCCUGGGAAACUGGGUCUAAUACCGGAUAGGAGCGUCCACCGCAUGGUGGGUGUUGGAAAGAUUUAUCGGUUUUGGAUGGACUCGCGGCCUAUCAGCUUGUUGGUGAGGUAAUGGCUCACCAAGGCGACGACGGGUAGCCGGCCUGAGAGGGUGACCGGCCACACUGGGACUGAGACACGGCCCAGACUCCUACGGGAGGCAGCAGUGGGGAAUAUUGCACAAUGGGCGCAAGCCUGAUGCAGCGACGCCGCGUGAGGGAUGACGGCCUUCGGGUUGUAAACCUCUUUCAGUAGGGAAGAAGCGAAAGUGACGGUACCUGAAGAAGAAGCACCGGCUAACUACGUG